UGGUCCAUUUAGAGGAAGUAAAAGUCGUAACAAGGUUUCCGUAGGUGAACCUGCGGAAGGAUCAUUAAUGAAUUGUCAUCGGUCCGGUUGUCGCUGGCCCUCCGGGGCAUGUGCACACCGGUCCGAACACGAUCUUAAACCUGUGCACCCAUGGCGGAGAGGGGUGUUUCUGGAGCUCUUCGGGGCUUUGGAACACCUUUUUCCUGCUCUUACACACUCUGCAUGUCUAGAAUGUCUUCUGCGUUUGACGCAAUUAAAUACAACUUUCAGCAACGGAUCUCUUGGCUCUCGCAUCGAUGAAGAACGCAGCGAAAUGCGAUAAGUAAUGUGAAUUGCAGAAUUCAGUGAAUCAUCGAAUCUUUGAACGCACCUUGCACGCUCCGGUAUUCCGGAGCGUACGCCUGUUUGAGUGUCGUGGCAUCAUCAACCCUAUCGGCUUGUGUCGGUAGAGGCUUGGAUCUGGAGGUGUGCCGGGCUUUGCAGCCUGGCUCCUCUUAAAUGCAUUAGCUGGGACCUUGGUCCGCGAGGCUUUGACGUGAUAGUAAUGUUACGUCGUUGUCCUGCGACCUCUCGUGUCGUCGCUUAUAGUCGUCCGUGAAGGACAAGCGUGUAUGCGCUUUUUUGACCUUGACCUCAAAUCAGGCGGGACUACCCGCUGAACUUAAGCAUAUCAAUAAG
rnacentral:rRNA from 1 species